rnacentral:rRNA from 1 species
UCGCACGAAGGUUUCGGCCUUAGUGGCGGACGGGUGAGUAACGCGUAGGAAUCUAUCCAUGGGUGGGGGAUAACACUGGGAAACUGGUGCUAAUACCGCAUGAUACCUGAGGGUCAAAGGCGCAAGUCGCCUGUGGAGGAGCCUGCGUUCGAUUAGCUAGUUGGUGGGGUAAAGGCCUACCAAGGCGAUGAUCGAUAGCUGGUUUGAGAGGAUGAUCAGCCACACUGGGACUGAGACACGGCCCAGACUCCUACGGGAGGCAGCAGUGGGGAAUAUUGGACAAUGGGGGCAACCCUGAUCCAGCAAUGCCGCGUGUGUGAAGAAGGUCUUCGGAUUGUAAAGCACUUUCGACGGGGACGAUGAUGACGGUACCCGUAGAAGAAGCCCCGGCUAACUUCGUGCCAGCAGCCGCGGUAAUACGAAGGGGGCUAGCGUUGCUCGGAAUGACUGGGCGUAAAGGGCGUGUAGGCGGUUUGUACAGUCAGAUGUGAAAUCCCCGGGCUUAACCUGGGAGCUGCAUUUGAGACGUGCAGACUAGAGUGUGAGAGAGGGUUGUGGAAUUCCCAGUGUAGAGGUGAAAUUC